UUGGAAUGAAGAAGUAAGAAGCUGGAGUUGAUGAAGAGACCAAGCAUCAAGAGCAAGCAAAUCCGGAACAAGCAGAUUUGAAUCUGUCCGUACAGUUUUGGCUUGCAAGUAACCAAACCUAACCUAGAGUGUCUUGGAAGUCAAGGCAAGUGGGGAACUCGUCCAGCUGAGCUUUCUGAAGCAUAUUUGAAGUUUAAAUUAAGUGUGAGACCGUUGGAGAGAGAUCUGGCAAGUUGGAGAAUUAAUUAAGAUAAAAGUCACAUGUGCAUAAGGAGAUGAACCUGCUGUCACUUUCACCCAACCAGACUGUGCCCAUCUCUCUCUCCUGUCACUCUCUACUCCCUCUGGUCGAGAUUCUCCUUGGCUGCAUCCUCCUGGCUCCAUCAGAAACCCUACAAUAAUAUUAGUUUAGUAAAUCUGUACUUUAACAAUUGUUUAAUCACUUGCAACUUGUAAUCUGGCUAUAAAGCCACCCCAUUGUAACCAUUACGAAAUCAAGCUGAAUGGGGGAGUUUCCCCUUUCUUCUUCACCAUUCUCAAGUCUCUUAUACUCUCCCUAAUCUCUGGUUACAAGAAUCUCUCUCAUACUCUCUUAAAUCUCACUUAAUCUCUCUUAUUCUCCAUUGCAGUCUCUUUAAUUCUCACUUACUCUCUUCACUCUGUUCUCUUUCAAUCCAACCACUCUCUGUUCUAAACAACACUCACACACCAUAAUCUGUCUAUUCUCACAUGGUAUCAGAGCUCCAAGCUCCUGAGAAUCCAUAGAGCUUCCGCAAAUCUGUUACAGUUCAUACUUCUCUUCAAAAAUCUCUGUUUCUGUUCAUCCUUGUAUCCUCUGGUCUAAAGCUUUUCCAGGAGGGAAGAGACUCACCAGAAGUCAAGAUAAAGGAGGUCUUUAGUAUCUGAAACUCAAAGCUUCCACAAUUCAAGCAUAGGCUCACCCUCAUUGUUAUUUCAAAUCAUUGGAGAGUUUCUGUCCAGCCAGCUGUUCAAUCUCUUCAAGAGGAAGAAGACUACAAACAUGGCGUGUCCAGAGACUUCCCAAGGUCUAUCACCCUUCCUCCUGUUCAGCCUGAAGAGAUCUCUUGGAGAAAGAAGGUUUUGGAGCUGUUUGGCAAGCAAUGCUCCAAACCAAGUCUGUACAAGUGUUUUUCAAGUUCUUCCCAAAGUGGAGUCUCUCACUGUGUGCCAGAAGGUGGCGCCUGGUAAUCAGGAAGAAAGGAGGGGUCUUAAGCAUGAGUGGUCUAAAGGGAAAGCACACACAAGGAAAUGGCGUGGGGUAGAGAUCCCAAACUCCAAAUCUGUCAAGUUCAAGUGAACAGUGUGCCUUGGAGGUUCAAGGAACCAGCUCAGGUUCCUUGUUUGUAAGUUAACCUCCUACCUUUAAUAAGAGCUUGAUUAGUUAUGUCUGGUUGUGUUGAGUGGUGUGUUUGGUAUCCUUGGGACAGGUUCAAGUUGCUAGAGUUGUUGAACCUAGUUCCUGUCCCAUGAUACUUAAAUUGUGUGUGUUGCUCUGUUUCUUAAAUUAUUUCGAGGAGUUGUCUAGCAUGGUAUUGUCUAGUUUCUGUCCUAGAUUAAUUGUUUCUGUUUGUAUUGUGCUAGGCGAUUUGUUUAGCUACUGUCAUUGUCUUGUUGCAUUGAUAGAGGUCUAGGAGAGUCUCCUGAUCUUGUAUUGCAUUAUAUAUAUAUUGUUCACGAUGAUUAGAUGAGUUGUUUAGUCUCUGUUUAUUGUCUUUAAAAUUCAUAAAAAGAGCCUAAUUGCCUUGUUAUUGAUGAGUUAUCAUACCUGAGCAGUUAGUGAUGUUUAGUAUGCAUGGAGUUGAACUGAAUGAGUUGUUUAGAUUCUGUUCAUUGCAUAUUUUCUUUCUCUUAAAACAUUGGGAUCAGACUUGGUGAAUUAUCAAGGGCUGAUCCUAGUGUGUGUGGUCUGAUUCUUGCUGGAGUUUGAGUGAUGUUUCAGGUACACAAGAGGUGAUCUCUGUCCAUCAUCAAACUAAGACAAAGAAGAAGGCAUUCCUGAACCGUGGAGAUUGCCCAGUCCCAAAUCCUAUCUAUGUGUCUGCCCAUUUCCUACCCUGAAGAUAGAAAGGAUGUUGGAGAAUUGGAGAAACUGCUCAGAAGUGACUUACCUGAUGCCAAGAGGAUGUACAGGAGGUGCACUCAAGAGAAAAGGCCAUCACUAAGCCAAGAGUGGCCGGUGGUCAGAGGCAUGGAUCAAGGUGUUUAGUCCUGACCAUGUAAAGAUACCUUGUGAGUGGAAUCAGUUGGCUUAAGCGCAGGCGUAGGAGCUGUUGUGCUCCUGGUUCAAGAGACUCACAAGGAAGGCCAUCACCUAAGUCAUGAGGAGACUGGUGGUCCAAAGACAUUGGAGCUGAAGGCAAAUGGUGAACUGGUUGGCUUAAGCGCAGAUGUUGGUAUUGUUGUGCUCCCAGUUCAAAACUCAUUGAAGCUCACAUUCAAGCUUGUCACUAUACUCAGUCAAGCUUGAGGAGGGGAAUAUCAGUGAGCUACCAAAAGAUCCAUGAAGCUUACUGUAUCCAGUGUCCCAUUUCCUCAUAGAAGACCAGCAAGAGGUUGGCGAAUUAAAAGAGGACUUAAGUGAUCAGUCUGAAGAAGCUGUCACUCCUCACUGUUCUUACCAGCCAGAUGCAAGGAUUAUUCAAUCAGGGACAUUCUUGGCUAAGCAAUCACAUGAUGGUGGCAAAUUAUGGAGUUGCAAAGUCCCCCUACAUGUUGAAACUUCAAGAGAAUAAUGCAAAGGCUGGUUGAGAGAAGUGUUGACAUGAAGCAAUAAAGAGAGGAGAAUGAAGUAAGAAGCAAGAGGGGAACAAUUACAUCCGGAUCAAGCAAUCACUCAUCUUACCUUGCUAGACAAGUCUGUCCGUACAAGACAACCCUAACUUGGAGUGCAAGACAUAAGAGUGACUGAUAUAGAAGAGAAGAAGGCAAGAAGAAUGUUUGGAAUCGCCUAAGGGAAGUGGGGAACCGUUGAGAGUGCAGGUCACGGGUCUGGUUAAGGAUUCAAAGUCUUCCCACCCGUUAGGACCUGUCACUAUCCAGGACCACUUUGCCCAUCUCUCCUCUGUCUUAACUUCUUUGUUUAUUGUUUCCUUAAUGUCGACAUCUUGCUGUAUGAAUUCUAUAAAUGGGUUGUUCCCAUAAACAAAUCAUUCAAGGGAAAAGAGUUCUCUAUUAUUCUCUUUGUCAAUCUCUCUCUCUCUCUCACGGUUCAACCUAGUUCUUCUCUAAUCUCUUCACAAAUCUUCCUUAAACUCUCACAUAAAUCCUAUAAAACUCUCAUGGUAUCAGAGCAACUGUGCUCUUGAGACCUAAAUCUCUUUUUCUUCCGCGAACUCUCUGUGUUUUAUUUCUAUUUUUGGCAAAGUUCAUCCUGUUCUUGAGGUGUUCUUCAAUCUCAUUUCCAGAAUUUGCCAAAAGUAGCAAAGUUCAUCCAAAACUUUCGUUUCUCUUUCUCUCUUGAUGGAUACCUCCGAGAACCCAAAGAUGGUAAUGAUACCAGUUACUCUCAAGGGUCCUAACUACCUGACAUGGGCAAGACUUGCCAAAACAGCUCUCGGAGGCAGAGGUCUUUGGGAGAUUGUUGAAGAAGGCCGCCCCACCAAGAAGACUGUCCUAGGAGAGGAUGGCAAAGAAGUGGUGGUUGCGGAUGCUGGGGAUAAGAAGAAAGGUCAGGAGGACCUCAUGGUGUUGUCUAUCAUCCAGAAUAGCCUCGCCCCUUCUCUCCAAGAGGCUUAUGCAUUCUGUGAAACUUCCAAGGAGCUGUGGGAUACUCUCAAGAAGGUGUAUGCCAACAAAUCCAACAUCAGCAAGGUGUAUGAAGUAAAAGGAGCAAUCAAUUCUCUAAGUCAAGAGGACACAGACUUUGAUGCUCAUUUUGGGAAGUUCCGGUCUCUAUGGGCUGAGCUAGAGAUGCUCAGACCCGCAACAGUUGAUCCGGAUGUUCUACAUGAAAGAAGGGAGCAAGAUAAGGUCUUUGCCUUGCUGCUCACUCUCAACCCAGGGUAUGAUGACCUUAUUAGGCACAUACUGAGGAACAAGGAGCUUCCAUCUCUAGAUGAAGUGUGUGCUGAGAUUCAGAAGGAGCACGGCUCAGUGGGUCUCUUUAAGAGAAAGGGAGAGCUAGUGAUGGCCAAUCAAGCUGAAGGAGCCGAGAGCAAACCUGCCGGAGUAGCCAACAAAGGGUACUACAAGCCGGAGGAAAAGAAAGUGUGGGUGUGUGAUCAUUGCAAGAGGAAGGGUCACGGCAAGGACAAGUGCUGGAUACUUCACCCACACCUCAAACCGGCUAAGUUCAAGACUGAUGGUCGGGCAAACUACUCAGGUGAUGUAGGAGAAGCUUCCACGGCCUACCGCACUCAUGAGGGCAAGGGAAACCAGGAUGAGUCCAUCAAGAAAUCUGACAUUGAGGCACUCAUCAAAGCUCUCAAGGAGUCUGGUAAAACUCUUGGUUCCUCCCUUAGUGCAUCAUAUCAAUUGCCUAGGAGUUUAUUCACGGCGUUUCAAGUUGCUCAUGAAUCUGAUAGAGUUAAACCCUUAGUCAUAGACUCAGGAGCCUCUCAUCACAUGAUUAGUGAUUUAAAUUUGAUUAAAAAUAUCACUCCUGCAGUAGGAAAUGUUAUGAUAGCUGAUGGUAACAAGGUUCCAAUUAAAGGCAUAGGGGAACUUAAAUUAUUUGAGAAAGAAUCCAAAGCUUUCUACAUGCCUAGUUUCACUUCUAAUCUAUUAUCUGUGAAAAGGGUGACCAAUGACUUGAAUUGCAAUGUUAUAUUUACGCCUGAUGAUGUCUACUUUCAGGAUAUUGACUCAUGUAGGUUGCUUGGCAAAGGUGUGAGCAAGGGAAACCUGUACUUGCUAGAAGACACUAAGCUUGCAUCCGAUCUAUCUGUUGCUUUCAAUUCAAGUUUUAAUUUCCCUAAAGAUGUAAUGUGGCAUGCUAGAUUAGGACAUCCUCAUUCUCGUGCCUUGAACAUCAUGUUGCCUAGUAUUUCAUUCCAGCAAGAUUGUGAAGCUUGUAUCUUAGGAAAACAUUGCAAAACUGUAUUUCCCAAGUCUAGUACAAUCUAUGAACACUGCUUUGAUUUAAUCCACUCGGAUGUAUGGACAGCUCCAUGUCUUUCUAGAGAACAUCACAAGUAUUUUGUGACCUUUAUUGAUGAGAAAUCCAAGUACACAUGGAUCACUCUCUUACAAUCAAAGGAUAGGGUCUUAGAUGCAUUUAUAAACUUUGAAACAUAUGUCUCUAACCAUUAUAAUGCCAAAGUUAAGAUUUUGAGAUCAGAUAAUGGAGGAGAGUACACCAGCAAUGCAUUCAAAGCUCAUCUAGCCAAACAAGGUGUGAUUCAUCAAACCAGCUGUCCAUACACUCCCCAACAAAAUGGUGUGGCCGAGAGGAAGAACAGGCAUCUCAUGGAGGUCACUAGGAGCAUGAUGUUCCAUACUAGUGUCCCAAAGAGCUUUUGGGGUGAUGCGGUCCUAACUGCAUGCUACCUGAUCAACCGCAUUCCUACCAGAGUUCUACAAGACUGCUCUCCAUUUGAGGUAUUGAACAAAGCUAAACCAUCUAUUGAUCAUAUGCGUGUGUUUGGGUGCCUUGUUUUGUUUUGAAACCAGGAGAACUGAGGAACAAACUGGAGGCUAAGAGCACAAGAGCUAUGUUCAUUGGGUAUUCACCAAACCAGAAGGGCUAUAAGUGCUAUGAACCAGAGACUAGGAGAGUCUUGGUAUCUAGAGAUGUGAAGUUUGUAGAAACCAGAGGGUACUACAACAACAAGGAUUGGAAUGAGCUGGAGAACUUGUCUCAAUCCGCAUCAGAUAGAGCAGCCAAUCUCAGACAAGUCAUGAGGAGACUUGGGGUCAGCUUACCUAUGGAAGAGCCGGGACAAGCAGGAUCAGAUAAUGUGGGAGGAUCAAGCCGGUCUGAAGAGCAAACCGAGACAACUACAGAUGAAGUUGAGAUCCAAGAAGCUGCUCCCCUUGAUCCUGAGGGGGGAAAUCAGGGUGAACCACCUGUAUCUGAGGAAGUUCAUGAUCAAGAAGAGCACCAUGACCAAGAGGAGGAAGUGGAGGAUCAGAAUCAGAACUUGGAAGGUGGAGAAGGCACUCAGAAUGAAAAUGAUCAGCCAGUACUUAGGAGAAGUACUAGGAUCAAGAAGCCGGCUUCAAACUGGAACAACACCAGAGUCUACUUCAAUGCAGAGGCAGUAGCUCACCCACCCAGUGGCGUGUGCUCCCUAGCUCACUAUCCAGAAGAACAUCAAGCCUUUGUGGGCUCAUUGGAUCAGGAAUGGAUACCAAGAACAUAUGCAGAAGCUAUGGAAGAUGAUGAAUGGAGGGAAUCAGUGAAUGAUGAAAUGGGAGCCAUGGAGAGGAACAACACCUGGUAUGAGACAGAGCUUCCAAAAGGAAAGAAAGCCGUGACCAGCAGACUCAUACACACUAUCAAGUAUCUUGCAAAUGGAAAGCCAGAAAGAAAAAAGACCAGAUUGGUAGCAAGAGGAUACACACAAGUUUAUGGAGAAGACUAUCUAGACACCUUUGCACCAGUGGCCAAGCUUCACACAAUCCGGAUUAUCCUUUCAUUGGCAGUAAAUCAAGAGUGGGAUCUUUGGCAAAUGGAUGUGAAGAAUGCCUUCUUGCAAGGUGAACUAGAAGAUGAGGUAUAUAUGAGACCACCGCCGGGAAUGGAAGAGAUGGUGAAACCAGGGAAUGUACUCAGACUCAGAAAAGCCAUAUAUGGUUUGAAACAAUCACCAAGAGCUUGGUAUCACAAGCUGAGCACUACACUGAAUGGGAGAGGCUUUGUGAAGUCUCAAGCGGAUCACACACUCUUCACUCUCACCAGCAAGCAAGGGAUUGUUGUGAUUCUAGUCUAUGUGGAUGAUAUCAUCAUCACUGGUUGUGACAAGGAGGGGAUCAGUUCAACCAAGACCUUUCUUAAAGCCGCAUUUGAUAUCAAAGACCUAGGAGAACUGAAGUACUUCCUCGGCAUUGAGAUGUGCAGAUCAAAGGAAGGAUUGUUCAUGUCCCAAAGAAAGUAUACCCUGGACAUCUUAAAGGAGGCAGGAGAUCUUGGAGGAAGACAAGCCAAGACACCACUUGAAGAAGGUUACAAGGUAUUGCGAGAGGGGGAGUAUGAAGAUACUCCAUUUGAAGAUGUCAAACAAUAUAGACGGAUGGUUGGGAAGCUGAUCUAUCUAACCAUCACUCGGCCAGAUGUGUGCUUUGCAGUUAAUCAAGUAAGCCAACAUAUGCAAACUCCCAAGGUUCAUCACUGGAACAUGGUGGAGAGGAUACUAAGAUACUUGAGAGAGGCACCAGGUCAGGGUGUAUGGAUGGCUUGCAACAAGAACACUGAGGUGAUAGGAUACUGUGAUGCAGAUUGGGCUGGGGACAGAAUAGACAGAAGAUCAACCACCGGCUAUUGUACAUUCAUUGGAGGAAAUCUGGUCACUUGGAAGAGCAAGAAACAGAAGGUAGUGUCUUGCUCUAGUGCAGAAGCAGAGUACAGAUCAAUGAGGAAGCUAACCAGUGAGCUUAUCUGGAUAAAAGGGCUUCUAGGCGACUUGGGAAUUGAGAUCAAAACUCCCAUGACCAUGCAUUGUGACAACCAAGCCGCAAUACACAUUGCAUCCAACUCAGUCUUCCAUGAGAGGACAAAACACAUAGAAGUGGACUGCCACAAGGUAAGACAAGCAGUAGAGCAGCAAGUGAUUCUCCCAUGUUAUACAAGAAGUGAGGAUCAGCUGGCUGACAUCUUCACCAAGGCGGCCAGUAGCAAAGUUUGUGAGUCCAUUCUUCCAAGACUUGGACUCAUAAACCUCCCAUGUCAAUAAUCCCCUCACCAUGGAGUAUUCUACUCUUUUUCCUUUGCUUGGUUUUUAUCCCAAGUGGUUUUUCCAAGUAAAGGUUUUAAUGAGGGAAUGCUUCAUGGAUUCCAAGCUUGACAAUCACCACUGUCAAGCUUGAGGGGGAGUGUUGACAUGAAGCAAUAAAGAGAGGAGAAUGAAGUAAGAAGCAAGAGGGGAACAAUUACAUCCGGAUCAAGCAAUCACUCAUCUUACCUUGCUAGACAAGUCUGUCCGUACAAGACAACCCUAACUUGGAGUGCAAGACAUAAGAGUGACUGAUAUAGAAGAGAAGAAGGCAAGAAGAAUGUUUGGAAUCGCCUAAGGGAAGUGGGGAACCGUUGAGAGUGCAGGUCACGGGUCUGGUUAAGGAUUCAAAGUCUUCCCACCCGUUAGGACCUGUCACUAUCCAGGACCACUUUGCCCAUCUCUCCUCUGUCUUAACUUCUUUGUUUAUUGUUUCCUUAAUGUCGACAUCUUGCUGUAUGAAUUCUAUAAAUGGGUUGUUCCCAUAAACAAAUCAUUCAAGGGAAAAGAGUUCUCUAUUAUUCUCUUUGUCAAUCUCUCUCUCUCUCUCACGGUUCAACCUAGUUCUUCUCUAAUCUCUUCACAAAUCUUCCUUAAACUCUCACAUAAAUCCUAUAAAACUCUCAAGAAGGAAUGGCGUGGAGGAUUCAAGUGCUUAGUAAUCCUCACCAACAUUCAACAAACUGAUGCAAGGUACCUAUUGAGCUCAUGAACAAAGAAAAGCUUUGUCUCAACUCCUAAAUGGAGGCAAGAAGCCAGAAGAAAGGGGGAGACAAGCUCAGGUCAUAAGAAGAAGCUCAAAUGUGAUUUGACGGUGAAGCAACUGGCGCCAAUCCAAGUCGUUCAUUGCCUCACCUCCGAUCAAAAUUGGAGUUUGCAAGUGGUGGAUUCACUCUUGCAUUACUCAGUACCAACCGGAUCAAAGAAGCUCAGUUCCAAGUGUGUGAUUGAGCUUCCAUAAUCCGGACUGUGUCUUACCAAGUGGGAUUCAAUUGGAGUCCACGCCUCACCAUUCUUAUGAAAGGGAAGCACCUUAAACUCAUCUCAAUACAUUCAUGAUUGUCCUUAUACUUUAUAUUAUUGAGUUUGAUGUGAUGAGUGCAUUUCCUUAAGAACUGAUGCAAUUUUAGAAUGGUGUAUCAGGUACCAAAAUAAGCUUGAGCCUCACUGAAGAUGAUGAUGAUGAUCCGGUCGUGUCCUAGCCUAUCUAAGAUGGCCAAAGAAGUCAGUUGAGAAGGGGAGACCCAAACCGGGUCUAUGGUCCAUGAAGAGGUCAAGCCAAGUUCUAAAGAACAAGUAACUUUGCUGGGGGUUCAGAGAAGAUGGUCUGGUCGUUUCCUUGCCUUCCUAAGGUGGCUUGAAGCCAGCUGAGAGGGGGAGACCCUAAACCGGCCACAAAAUGAUCCAGCCGGCUACUUGUGCUCAAGGAUAGCAAGUUAUGGUGAUUCAUACUUGCUAUACCUAUUAGGCCACGAUCCAGAGCCUAAGGACUCCACCAUGAUGAAUCUGAAGUUCCUUAGGCUCACUGGCCAAUCCCUAAGCUUUGUAGAAACUCCACUCUUUUUCCCUUAGCAAGUUUUGUCCCAAUGGGUUUUCUUGCUAAGGUUUUUAAUGAGGGAGCUUCUUCAAGGUUCCAAGCUUGUCCAAGGAUCUCCUAUGGUCAAGCUUGAGGGGGAGUGUUGGAAUGAAGAAGUAAGAAGCUGGAGUUGAUGAAGAGACCAAGCAUCAAGAGCAAGCAAAUCCGGAACAAGCAGAUUUGAAUCUGUCCGUACAGUUUUGGCUUGCAAGUAACCAAACCUAACCUAGAGUGUCUUGGAAGUCAAGGCAAGUGGGGAACUCGUCCAGCUGAGCUUUCUGAAGCAUAUUUGAAGUUUAAAUUAAGUGUGAGACCGUUGGAGAGAGAUCUGGCAAGUUGGAGAAUUAAUUAAGAUAAAAGUCACAUGUGCAUAAGGAGAUGAACCUGCUGUCACUUUCACCCAACCAGACUGUGCCCAUCUCUCUCUCCUGUCACUCUCUACUCCCUCUGGUCGAGAUUCUCCUUGGCUGCAUCCUCCUGGCUCCAUCAGAAACCCUACAAUAAUAUUAGUUUAGUAAAUCUGUACUUUAACAAUUGUUUAAUCACUUGC
rnacentral:lncRNA from 1 species